AAUUUAAAAUAUUUCGUCAUUAAUUUUUCACAUCUAAAAAGACAUUAUUCAAUCCUGUAGGACGAGAAUAUUAUAACAAUAAUUAAAACCUUUGUCGCUGGAGAACUGAACUACUUCUUCAUCAAAGUGAAACCCGUGGCUGAUGGUCAAAUGUUUACGUUGUCCAUCCGGUCCGAUCAUAACUUGUAGCGGUUUUCUGGAUUUCUUUUUAGAUUUUACAGAGCGUGUGUCAGUCAAGAAGAAACUGGUUGACGUUGUGGAAGAGUCAUAUACAGAAUCAUCGUGAUAGUAUAUUGUUCCGUCUUCCAUCUGUAAGGGCAUACCAUUUUCAACCGGAAUCAAGUUCCCGUGUUCAUCCUCAACCAACUGUUGAAACUAAAAAAUAAAAGACCAAAUUAGUAUUACUGACAAUACAUCAAUACAAAUAAUGCAUGCAGUGUAGAAUAAAUAAUAAAUAAAAACCUGAUGUUGGUCGUCACCGUCUUGGCAAAUUAUUAUGGUUUGUCCAUGUUGUUGAAAA